rnacentral:rRNA from 1 species
GGUUAAGCGACUAAGCGUACACGGUGGAUGCCCUGGCAGUCAGAGGCGAUGAAGGACGUGCUAAUCUGCGAUAAGCGUCGGUAAGGUGAUAUGAACCGUUAUAACCGGCGAUUUCCGAAUGGGGAAACCCAGUGUGUUUCGACACACUAUCAUUAACUGAAUCCAUAGGUUAAUGAGGCGAACCGGGGGAACUGAAACAUCUAAGUACCCCGAGGAAAAGAAAUCAACCGAGAUUCCCCCAGUAGCGGCGAGCGAACGGGGAGGAGCCC